rnacentral:rRNA from 1 species
CCACAACAGGUGGAGCCUGCGGUUUAAUCGGACUCAACGCCGGGAAACUCACCAGAUAAGACAGCUGAAUGAUAGUCGGGCUGAAGACUCUACUUGACUAGCUGAGAGGAGGUGCAUGGCCGUCGUCAGUUCGUACUGUGAAGCAUCCUGUUAAGUCAGGCAACGAGCGAGACCCACGCCAACAGUUGCCAGCAUGUCCUCCGGGAUGAUGGGGACACUGUUGGGACCGCCUCUGCUAAAGAGGAGGAAGGAAUGGGCAACGGUAGGUCAGCAUGCCCCGAAUUAUCCGGGCUACACGCGGGCUACAAUGGUCAGGACAAUGGGUAUCGACACCGAGAGGUGGAGGCAAUCUCCUAAACCUGUCCUUAGUUCGGAUUGUGGGCUGCAACUCGCCCACAUGAAGCUGGAAUCCGUAGUAAUCGCGUUUCAAAAUAGCGCGGUGAAUAUGUCCCUGCUCCUU